ensembl:lncRNA
GGCUGCAGAAGAAGGUGGAGCAGCUGUCGCGAGAGCUCAGCACCCUGCGGAACUUGUUCAAGCAGCUGCCCGAGCCGCUGCUGGCCUCGGCGGGCCACUGCUAGCGCGGCGCGGGUGGCGUGGGGGGCGCCGCGGCCACCCUGGGCACCGUGCGCCCUGCCCCGCGCGCUCCGGCCCCGCGCGCGCGUCCGGACCACCGUGCGUGCCCCGCGCGCACCUGCACCUGCACCGAGGGGACACCGCGGGCACACCGCGGGCACCGCGCGCACGCACCUGCACAGCGCACCGGGUUUCGGGACUUGAUGCAAUCCGGAUCAAACGUGGCUGAGCGCGUGUGGACACGGGACUGACGCAACACACGUGUAACUGUCAGCCGGGCCCUGAGUAAUCACUUAAAGAUGUUCCUGCGGGGUUGUUGCUGUUGAUGUUUUUGGUUUUGUUUUUGUUUUGUUUUGUUUUUUUUUUUGGUCUUAUUAUUUUUUUGUAUUAUAUAAAAAAGUUCUAUUUCUAUGAGAAAAGAGGCGUAUGUAUAUUUUGAGAACCUUUUCCGUUUCGAGCAUUAAAGUGAAGACAUUUUAAUAAACUUUUUUGGAGAAUGUUUAAAAGCCUUUUGGGGGCAGUAGUUGGCUUUUGAAAAAAAAUUUUUUUUCUUCCCUCCCGACUUUGGAUUUAUGCGAGAUUUUGUUUUUGUGUUUCUGGUGUGUAGGGGGCUGCGGGUUAUUUUUGGGUUGUGUGUGGCGGUGGGUGGGGGUGUCGCAUCUGGGCUUUUCUCUACCCAUGGCAGAUGGGGUGUCAGCCCCUCCCCCCAGGAGAGGGGGCAGAGUGCCAGGUCAGGAAUUCAGGGUGACUCAGCACCCACGGGUGCUGGGGGACUUGCUAGAAACCCUGCUUGGGACGGGCCGCCCUCGGCUUGGUUUGAGUGUCAGACUUGUGUUGAGAGGACUAGACAUUCUGUAGGAAAGGCUAGUCCAGACAGCUGGGUCAGGGCAGCUAAUGUUGCCAGUGACGUGUGCACACCUCCUCUUCUCCCUCAGCCAUGGGACUGCUCAGGUCUGGGAACAGCUGCCUUGUGGAGAGACUACAUUCUCCAAACUUCUCUUGCAGCUAGGAAUGACCCCCUGAGCUGUGAGCAUAAACUGUAGGAGGGGCUGCCGGGAACAUCUCUGCAGGAUCCCGUCCUUCCUACAUUCUGCCUGGAACUCAGAUGUCUAGAGCUGCAGAGACCAUCUUGAUCCCAGGGGCAACGCUUCACGCUUCACGCAUAGUAGCAAACCCAAAAGACAAAAGGCAUUGAGUCCCGUUGGCGGCAGAGGCGGAGCCUCAGUCCUGAUGGCGGAGGAGGAGCCUCACAGGUCCUUGCUGACCCUGCUCUGCACUUGUUUGUGUGAAGAAAAGAAAUCCCUGUUCAUUGAGACCUUUGUCACUCGGUUUCCUGUUACUGGCAGCUGAAUACAUUUCUGACACAUUUGCUCAAACUGCACGGAGCUCACUGGGCCUCUUUGUCACCUGUGUUUCUCAGGGGUGGCCUAGUGCUUCCUCGUCUGGGCUGUUCUGCUGACACCGUUCCCCAGAGAAGAGAAAAGGUCUCUCUGUUAGAUGAGGUGACAGGGUUGAUUUAAUUCAUUUGAAUUACAGAAGUCAUGUGUGAAGGCGUCUGGUGUCUCCAGAUGGCUCUGGAGUCCUCAGCAUGCUUCAGGUCAGGCGUGACCCAGGCCCUUGGGCUGGGUAGAAACUUCUCGGCUGGCUUUAGCUGGCUUCAGACCCUGCUUUCCCACCCUAGUCCAGAAAGGGGGCCCACGAGUGUCAGAGAGGUUUAGGCCCUGCUGUGGCGCUUAGAGCAUGUUGUCAACUGUUGUCACCUGGAAUGACCUCUUUGCCCUAAGCUCCAGCCACCAGCACCUGCUCCCUGGAGAUGCCAGCCUGCCAGGGCUAGAAGGCACCUUCGUCAGGCACAAGGGCCAGCCCACCAAGAUCGCUGUGGGGCGAGUCAGGAGGCCAGGGAGCUGGCAGGGUAAGUUAUUAUUUUUAUAGCUGUCACCAGAUCCCUGGCCCAGCCCUGCAGCCCUGGCAGGGACAGAGGCAGCCUGGGAGAAGGAGGAAGCCUUAGAGGCUUGGUAGUCAGGGCAGGGGCUGUGGAGAAGGGAACACCGGGGCAGGUCAGGGCCUGCUGGGCCUCGGCUUCUCCUGCUCCAUGGGGUGAAGGGCUGGUGACUGAUACACAGACGUGGCAUCUCUUGCCUUCGUCCCUGACCCCAGGCAUGUGCCAUGAGGUUCUCCCAGGCCAUUCCAAGAACUGCAUUGCACCCUGCUCGAGUCCCCUUAGGCCUACUCCAAGACCAUGUGUGACUUCCUUUACAGCCUCAUCCUGUCUGUCCAUGUGGCCAACUCCUGCUGUGGAUUCCUCUUCCUUAGUCUACCAUCACACCUGCAAAGGCACUUAGCUGUCCCCGCCGGGGGCCUCAAAGGGCCAAGCCAAUGCCCAAGAGCCCCUCCCUACACCCAGGUUAUCAGUACUCUGAUUUUGUUGUUAGGACAGUAUGGCAUGUAGCCCAGGUUACCCCUAAAAUGCUGAUCCCCUUGCCUCUAUUUCUGGAGUGCUGGGAUUAGAGACCUACAUUAUGCCAGUUUCAUGAAAUGUUGGGGAUUGAACCCCUGACCUCGUACACACUAGACGAGCUGCAUCCCCUGCCACUGUACCGUGAGUUCUGAUAACAAGAACUUGUUCACCCAUUUCUGUGAAUUGUGUUAAAGGAAUCCCAUGCUUGGUCCCCAACUCCAACUUUACGUUUCUCUAAGUGGCAGUGUGUGACUUGCUAGUCCUUUUUAUUGCUGAGUGGCCACUCAUUUUAUAGCUUGGGGACAAUUUGGUUUCCAUUUGGGCUCUUUAGGGGUGGCUGAGAUAGAUACUGUACAAACAUGUGGUCCAAAGUGUGUGUGUGUGUGUGUGUGUGUGUGUCUGUCUGUCUGUCUGUCUGUCUGUCAGUCUCUGUGUUAAAAAAACACUUGUCAUCUUGAAAAAGAUUGACGAUUUAUAGGAAAAUGACAAACUUGGGCAUAUUUCAUCUGGACUGGGAAUAAAUCAUUGAGUUCUCACCA